AAAGUACUCCCUCCGUCCCAAAAUUCUUGUCUUAGAUUUGUCUAGAUAAGGAUGUAUCAAGUCACAUUUUAGUAUUAGAUACAUCCGUAUCUAGACAAAUCUAAGACAAGAAAUUUGGGACAAAGGUAGUAGUUG
rnacentral:pre_miRNA from 1 species